rnacentral:rRNA from 1 species
ACGAGACCUUCGGGUCUAGUGGCGCACGGGUGCGUAACGCGUGGGAAUCUGCCCUUGGGUUCGGGAUAACAGUUGGAAACGACUGCUAAUACCGGAUGAUGACGUAAGUCCAAAGAUUUAUCGCCCAAGGAUGAGCCCGCGUAAGAUUAGCUUGUUGGUGAGGUAAAAGCUCACCAAGGCGACGAUCUUUAGCUGGUCUGAGAGGAUGAUCAGCCACACUGGGACUGAGACACGGCCCAGACUCCUACGGGAGGCAGCAGUGGGGAAUAUUGGACAAUGGGCGAAAGCCUGAUCCAGCAAUGCCGCGUGAGUGAUGAAGGCCUUAGGGUUGGAAA